AAUGGGCGCAAGCCUGAUCCAGCCAUGCCGCGUGAGUGAUGAGGGCCCUAGGGUCGUAAAGCUCUUUCGCCUGUGAAGAUAAUGACGGUAGCAGGUAAAGAAACCCCGGCUAACUCCGUGCCAGCAGCCGCGGUAAUACGGAGGGGGUUAGCGUUGUUCGGAAUUACUGGGCGUAAAGCGCGCGUAGGCGGAUUAGUCAGUCAGAGGUGAAAUCCCAGGGCUCAACCCUGGAACUGCCUUUGAUACUGCUAGUCUUGAGUUCGAGAGAGGUAAGUGGAAUUCCGAGUGUAGAGGUGAAAUUCGUAGAUAUUCGGAGGAACACCAGUGGCGAAGGCGGCUUACUGGCUCGAUACUGACGCUGAGGUGCGAAAGUGUGGGGAGCUAACAGGAUU
rnacentral:rRNA from 1 species